GAUGAACGCUAGCGGCAGGCUUAACACAUGCAAGUCGAGGGGUAUAGUUCUUCGGAAUUAGAGACCGGCGCACGGGUGCGUAAACCGGCCGGUUAAUGCAAUCUAACCCUUUUCACAAAGGGGAUAGCCCAGAGAAAUUUGGAUUAAUACCUUAUAGUAAUACGACUUGGCAUCAAGAUGUAUUUAAAGAUUUAUCGGUGAAAGAUGAGCAUGCGUCCCAUUAGCUUGUUGGUAAGGUAACGGCUUACCAAGGC
rnacentral:rRNA from 1 species